rnacentral:rRNA from 1 species
AACGAACGCUGGCGGCAGGCCUAACACAUGCAAGUCGAGCGAGGUAGCAAUACCUAGCGGCGGACGGGCGAGUAACGCGUGGGAACGUGCCCCUUGGUACGGAAUAGCCCCGGGAAACUGGGAGUAAUACCGUAUGAGCUCUACGGGGGAAAGAUUUAUCGCCAAGGGAUCGGCCCGCGUUGGAUGAGGUAGUUGGUGGGGUGAUGGCCUACCAAGCCGACGAUCCAUAGCUGGUUUGAGAGGAUGAUCAGCCACACUGGGACUGAGACACGGCCCAGACUGCUACGGGAGGCAGCAGUGGGGAAUCUUAGACAAUGGGCGCAAGCCUGAUCUAGCCAUGCCGCGUGAGCGAUGAAGGCCUUAGGGUUGUAAAGCUCUUUCAGCUGGGAAGAUAAUGACCGUACCAGCAGAAGAAGCCCCGGCUAACUCCGUGCCAGCAGCCGCCGUAACAC